UUAUAUUUCGAGUUCCUUGUUUUGUUUUCUUGUUGUUCUAAUAAUUGAAAUUGUGCCUCACAUUGUACGAACUUUUGAGAAUAUAUUCUCGUCAGUAUAAUCAAUAUGCCGGACACGAACGACGAUACAGAAAAUCCAGCAAACCUUGCCGUUCAGGAGAUCGGGGCAACUCUCUUGAAAUUAAAAAAAUUAUUAGAAGAAAGUGUCUCGUUGCGUGUCGAGUGCGCGAAAUUGGAAUUCGACAUGUUGACUUUGUAUCAACCAAUAUGUCCCGAAGAGCUAGAGGGCUUGCAAGACGAUCGAGAGAACAUCAAAAUUCCAGAAACUACUACGGAAGCUAAUAACGACACAAACAAUCAGAAUAUCCCGUAAUAUUUACGCAAUAUCGAUAAUUACAUGGAAAACACUGCCGAUCUGAUUUCGAAUCUGAUUGAAUAAAUGAAUUAUUAAUAUUUUCUAAAAUCAAUUCAAUCAAAUUAUCUUCAUAUUCAUUAACUCUUAAUCGUGAUAUUUCGAUGAUCCGCAACAUACUGCAUCAGUCUUAACUGCCAAAAAUAUUUUUUUGGCAGUUCCUGUGGAAAAAUCUCACAAAUGCAUUUUUUUCAACAGAAUCAAUUUCGUUAUUAAUGCAGUGAUAAAUUUCGAAAUUCAAAUUUCGUCGCAUUCAGGCCAUUUUUAUUGAAUCCAUUCUCGUUCGAUUUAGUCUACAUUGAACAUUAAUAAACUAAAAUCAGUACCAAUGAAAACGCUUUUUGUAGAGGCUUUGAAUUCUCAAUUCACGCAACUGUUAUAAAAAAUAUACCGAACUUCAGAAUUAUGAUCCAGUCACGUUUCUUCAUGCUCUUCUGCGUCCCAUUAGAAAAAUCAAUAAAUUUAAAUACACAAAAAUAUAGUUAAAGUGUGUGUUUUGUCUAAAAAAUCAUUAGGUCCGUUCGAGGAGUCCGUUGAGCAUUGUUCACCCAUCGAUAAUCAAUAUUUUUUCAGCUAGUUAAUCACAAAUAAAAGUAGAAAACAGAAAAAUCAUUAACAAUGAAUAUAUUAUAUCAUAAAUGUAUACAAUUAUAGUAUCGCUUAGAUGCUACCAUUUAUACAUUCAGGUACACACUGUACGGAUUUAAGCGUUUAUACGAUUACAGGUAUGAGAGUUAUAAUUUUCAUUUCAAUUCUUUUUCGCUUCUUUAAUCUUUUUCUCCCAAUAUCUCACCAUCGAGUCUCCUGCUGCGACGUAGAAUAUAUAAUUAACAUCAUACAAUAAUUACGAUGAUAAAGAGAGGAUAUAUUAUCUGGACAAAUAUCCCAAAAUCUGUCUUUUUUUUUGUAUUUUUUUUUUCUUUUCUUUUACUUUCUGACAUCAUAAAUAAAUAAAUGCCUGAUUUAAAAGUGCGAAGUGAUGACGACGUUAUAAGAUAAUUUCUGGAUAGUCGGCUCUGUUCUUUUUUUUUUCUCACCUUGUAAUCGUUUGUUUCGAAUACAAGGUCACGUGUCUCAGUCGUUUCGAGGAUUUUUUUCCCGAACUGUCAUUACGACGAUAAAACGCUUCUUUCGCACUAAUAUUUUUUUUUCCCUACUCGCUAUUCGUUUUGAAGACGGAAGAUUUUCUCAUUCAAGAUGUCUUUUGUUUUCUUUUCUUUUCUAUUUUGAAUACCAUUUUUUGUUUCGAUUAAACGAGCGUUUAAACG
rnacentral:lncRNA from 1 species